rnacentral:rRNA from 1 species
AUUGAACGCUGGCGGCAGGCCUAACACAUGCAAGUCGAGCGGAUGAAGGGAGCUUGCUCCUGGAUUCAGCGGCGGACGGGUGAGUAAUGCCUAGGAAUCUGCCUGGUAGUGGGGGAUAACGUCCGGAAACGGGCGCUAAUACCGCAUACGUCCUGAGGGAGAAAGUGGGGGAUCUUCGGACCUCACGCUAUCAGAUGAGCCUAGGUUGGAUUAGCUAGUUGGUGGGGUAAAGGCCUACCAAGGCGACGAUCCGUAACUGGUCUGAGAGGAUGAUCAGUCACACUGGAACUGAGACACGGUCCAGACUCCUACGGGAGGCAGCAGUAGGGAAUAUUGGGCAAUGGGCGAAAGCCUGAUGGAGCAAUGCCGCGUGUGUGAUGAAGGUCUUCGGAUCGUAAAGCACUGUAAGUUGGGAGGAAGGUAAGUGUAAGAAAACCUGGCUGUUUUGACGGUACCUACUGAGAAAGCACCGGCUAACUUCGUG